CAGGUAGGAGUUGGGAAUGGGAGUUUCUACAACACAGAAUCCCUUGGGAACAGACGGAUUUGCCAAUGCUUGUACUCUGGGCCAGGCAGUGAUCCGAGUUGGGCGGGAUUGUGAGUACUGUUCUGCUUGGGUGAGGCUACCGGGGUACUGGAUCCCAAUUUAAUUUGGCCCAGAUCUGCUAAAGGAGAAGGGAAGGGCUGUGUGUAUUGAAAUGGCAGUGGUAGCCAGACUGAAUAUUUAGCAAGGUGGGCAGGACCUCAAAGUACCAGCCAGUGAGCGGUGAGAUAGGUUGACGGAGCUGAGCUUUGGAUCCUGGCAAGUGAGAUGGAGGGCUACAGGAGGGGAAGAGGAGGGAAUGGCUGUGCUUGCUGAAUUAGAAAUGGUGGGUGAGGCUGUGUUUGCUGAGGUAGAGGUUGGAGGCGGUUUAGGGAUUGGUGACACACGAAGCAGGAACAGGGUUUUGGACAUUGACAUAAUAAAGGCCUAGAAACUCUGAAAGAGAAGGGGAGGCGUUUGUGGUGAUAUAGGAAUGGCAUGUGGGGUAUGCAUUCUGGGUUAGUAGUGGUGGGUGGUACUGCGUAUGUUUAAUGCCCGGGGGUGGGCGGGGCUCUGGAUGCUGAGGUUGGAGCGGUGGGCAGUGCUGUGCAUGCUGAGGUAGGAGUGCUGGGUGGUGUUGCAAGUGUUGCCCUAGGCAUGUAGAGUCUACAGAGUACCAGGAAGAGGCUGUAGUUAUUAAUUUACGGAGGGGGAGGGAGACCUUUGACUACUAAGCGACUAUGGCAGAGGGCCGCUAGAUGGAGAAAAGCUAGAUUGUAUGCUGAAGUAGGAGUGGUGGGUACAGCUGUAAGUGCUGACCUAGGGUAUGUCUCAACAGUAACAGGCUUGGUUCUCAGUGGUGCCUUACCCAAUGGUGCUGGAGCUUUGGAUAUUGAUACAGUAUGAUGCAGGGAGUGGAGGGCAGAGCAGUGCAUGCAGAAGUGAGAGUAAUUGGUAAGGUAGUGAGUGCUGGCCUAGGUGGGCAAGUCCUUGGGAGAACCAGGGCAGUGCUGCUAGUGGCGAAGUAUGAUGUGGAGCUUUGGCUGCUCUUUAGUGGAGUUCGGACGGCUGCUGAAGGCUGUGCUGUGACUGCUGACCUCUGCGGGUCCCUGGAGUCUGCAGCCUCCCAGGGCUGGUGAGAUUUUCCCCUGAAGGAGCCUUCCAGGGCUGGCAAAUGAGAUCAUAUGGUAUUACCCUGAGUCCUACAUUUACUGCUGGUUUUGACAUUUCAUAUGGACAAGAAGAAGCCCUUCCCCAGUAAGCCCAAGGACCAGACCCCGUGGAUUUCUUCUAUCCCAAU